rnacentral:rRNA from 1 species
CCUACGGGGGGCUGCAGUGGGGAAUAUUGCACAAUGGGGGAAACCCUGAUGCAGCGACGCCGCGUGAAGGAAGAAGUAUCUCGGUAUGUAAACUUCUAUCAGCAGGGAAGAAAAUGACGGUACCUGACUAAGAAGCCCCGGCUAACUACGUGCCAGCAGCCGCGGUAAUACGUAGGGGGCAAGCGUUAUCCGGAUUUACUGGGUGUAAAGGGAGCGUAGACGGAAGAGCAAGUCUGAUGUGAAAGGCUGGGGCUUAACCCCAGGACUGCAUUGGAAACUGUUUUUCUAGAGUGCCGGAGAGGUAAGCGGAAUUCCUAGUGUAGCGGUGAAAUGCGUAGAUAUUAGGAGGAACACCAGUGGCGAAGGCGGCUUACUGGACGGUAACUGACGUUGAGGCUCGAAAGCGUGGGGAGCAAACAGGAUUAGAUACCCCGGUAGUC